GAUGAAGAACGUAGCGAAAUGCGAUAAGUAAUGUGAAUUGCAGAAUUCAGUGAAUCAUCGAAUCUUUGAACGCACAUUGCGCCCGCCAGUAUUCUGGCGGGCAUGCCUGUCUGAGCGUCAUUUCAACCCUCAUGCCCCUAGGGCGUGGUGUUGGGGAUCGGCCAAAGCCCGCGAGGGCGGCCGGCCCCUAAAUCUAGUGGCGGACCCGUCGUGGCCUCCUCUGCGAAGUAGUGAUAUUCCGCAUCGGAGAGCGAUGAGCCCCUGCCGUUAAACCCCCAACUUUCCAAGGUUGACCUCAGAUCAGGUAGGAAUACCCGCUGAACUUAAGCAUAUCAAUAAGCGGAGGA
rnacentral:misc_RNA from 1 species